AUUUAAAUUAGGUCUGUGCACAACCCUGACUAGAAAUGAAACUUGUUCGGAUAGUUAUGUGUAUUAUUAUUAUUAUUAUACAUCCUGACAGCAGCACUUAAGAAGAACCUACAAAAACUUGUGCAUUUCACCCUUUUAGUCAAAGCACUGGGUGUCACUCAGUAACCCAGCAGCAGAGGUUUAAGAACAGCAGUGGAUACUUCCUUUCAGCUCAUCACAAGAGCUUUUUCAACAGAAAUGAACACAUGGCAGAACAUCUGCAGAACAUCGCAAACUGCAGGAAUCAGAAACUGAGCAGCAAACAGGAGGAGAGUCAAUCUACUGAAGCAGGAGAGAAACAGAGCAAGAGUCGAGUCAGACGGAGCAGCUUUAAUGAAGACACACCAAACUUUUCUCACGAUUCAGACAGACCUGCAGAGAUUCAGUCGAUUGUUUCAAAGAGAGACAUUCAUAGAUGAGGCGAGAUAUUAAUAAUCAUUUUAUUUUAUUUUACAACUGUAAAAAUACAAUACCAAUAGUAAUAUCUUUUUUCAUUUUCAGAUCAUAAACAGGAAGCUCUUGACAAAUCUGGAGAAGUGGAGCAUGAUGUGCAUCAGACUGACUGAGAGCUGGGACUUUUAUUCUGAAGGGACAUCAACACACACACACACACACACACACAACCAACUGCUGGUCAAAAAUAUGACAUCUUUAGUUUUAUGUUUGUAGUUCUGGUUGUGUUUUAUCUUCUCGUUCAUUGUCUCAAGUUGUUUCUUAGUUUGUCUGUUUAAGGUUGUGACUUUGUUUCAAUGUUUGCUGUGCAUUGAUACAUUAACAUCAUCAUUCAAAGAAAAGACCCCAAAAUAAUUUACAGAUUAAGAGUUACAUAUUCAUUUGUAAAUAUAGUAUAUGCUUUAAUUUGAUCAUUUCUAACUGUAUAUGUUACUGUCUGAU
ensembl:lncRNA